GUACCCCAUUUCUUCUUGGCUGCACAUAUACUAAAAGUGGGAUAAAACAGAGAAGAUUAGCGUGGCCCCUGCACAAGGAUGUAGCCCAUUUUUUUAAAUUGGAUUACUUGGUU
ensembl:snRNA U6 U6 spliceosomal RNA